rnacentral:misc_RNA from 1 species
GAAAUGCGAUAAGUAAUGUGAAUUGCAGAAUUCAGUGAAUCAUCGAAUCUUUGAACGCACAUUGCGCCCGCUAGUUAUUCUGGCGGGCAUGCCUGUCCGAGCGUCAUUUCAACCAUUAAGCCCCCGGGCUUGUGCUGGGGACCUGCGAGCUCUUCGCCCGCAGGCCCUGAAAAUUAGUGGCGGGCUCGCUGACACACCGAGCGUAGUAGCAUAAUUCUCGCUCAGGGCGUGCUGCGGGUUCCGGCCGUAAAAACGACCCAGGUUGACCUCGGAUCAGGUAGGAAUACCCGCUGAACUUAA